rnacentral:rRNA from 1 species
CCUACGGGUGGCAGCAGUGGGGAAUAUUGGACAAUGGGGGGAACCCUGAUCCAGCCAUGCCGCGUGUGUGAAGAAGGCCCUCGGGUUGUAAAGCACUUUCAGUGAGGAAGAACGCCUGGUGGUUAAUACCCAUCAGGAAAGACAUCACUCACAGAAGAAGCACCGGCUAACUCCGUGCCAGCAGCCGCGGUAAUACGGAGGGUGCGAGCGUUAAUCGGAAUUACUGGGCGUAAAGCGCGCGUAGGUGGCUUGAUAAGCCGGUUGUGAAAGCCCCGGGCUCAACCUGGGAACGGCAUCCGGAACUGUCAAGCUAGAGUGCAGGAGAGGAAGGUAGAAUUCCCGGUGUAGCGGCGAAAUGCGUAGAGAUCGGGAGGAAUACCAGUGGCGAAGGCGGCCUUCUGGACUGACACUGACACUGAGGUGCGAAAGCGUGGGUAGCAAACAGGAUUAGAUACCCUGGUAGUC